rnacentral:rRNA from 1 species
UACGUAGGCAGCAAGCGUUGUUCGGAGUUACUGGGCGUAAAGGGUGUGUAGGCGGUUGGAUAAGUGUGGUGUGAAAUCUCCCGGCUUAACUGGGAGGGUGCGCCUACAAACUGUCUGACUAGAGUGUGGGAUGGGUAAGUGGAAUUCCUGGUGUAGCGGUGAAAUGCGUAGAUAUCAGGAGGAACACCGGUGGUGUAGACGGCUUACUGGACCAUAACUGACGCUGAGACACGAAAAGCGUGGGGUAGCAAACAGG